rnacentral:misc_RNA from 1 species
CUGGUCUUCGAAAAUAAGAGGAAGCGAGUGAAAAUCGCCAUCUAGUUCCAAACAAUGGACUGGAAGCGGUGGUAACGCUGAAAGGUAACGAGAUCUCCUCGCAGCCUCGCUAACAGCUUGAUACGAUUGAUAAUUGGCGUCAUAACAACCAGCCGCUGACGUCCGGGGGUUCCCCAAAACGAAAAAGCCCUCUGCGAAUCUGUUCACCUAAAUUUUAGUGAAUCGUUCAGAUUCUUCUAAUCGACAGAGACCGGCAGAUAAAAUAACCUGGAUCAAGCAACCUAACAUUCUCUGCAUAACAGCACCCUUAUGAAAAUGUGAUAUUAGGUCGUCCGGCGACUAACAUACUCUUAGCUGGUGAUGAAUGUGAGCCAGAUGCUCGUGCACAGCUUGCCGACCAGAAAAGGCUUCGAGAAAGUGCUGCCACAGGACGAUAUUUUGAGCACAUAGUUGCGCUAUAUCUGCGUCUUCUGUGCUCAUCAUCUAAAAAAAGUUCCAAUGCUCUAGGGCUCUCUGUUGCCAGGAAGGAAGUAGACGAGCAAGAUCUGCCAUUUCAACAAGCAGAGAUUCUCGAGCGGUCAGCAGAAGCCGGACUACUUCCUGUUGCACCAGUUGAGCGUGGUGUAUCCUUGUCGCGGAACCCACACAUCUGGUAGUAUGUUCCUGUAGGAUAUUAUUCCAAAAAUUAUCCGGAUGCAAAGUCUAGUAUGCAAUUCAAUAUACAGUUAAUGAUUAUUUUUCUGAAACUCACAAUAUUUCCGAACAGAAUUUUGCUUUCAUCAUUCACACCGGUUUGCUUAAACUGUAACCAUGGCUUGCCUCCACGUGGAGCACUGUAACGUAUAAGCAUGUAGAUAAAAAUACCAGAAGAAUUUUCUAUCUUUCAUUAAGUUAAGACACACUCACCAACUUUGUACGUAAUGCAAAAUACUUUUUCUGCCAUAGUAAUGAUCAGACAUAGAAAAAACGAUACAACGGUGCAAUUAGUCAUGACCCCUCGUGAAAUGUAAGCGAUUGUUUAUCAUGAAUUUGCUGGUGGGAUAUCAAGUAUCUACAAAAUAUCUUUCAACAAAAUAUUAGGUAGCUAGACAUUGGCCAUCUAAUUACGGAAUUUAAAUUGAAGAAUAUACUGACUUUAUAUAAGGUUGAUGUAGAGCGACGAGGCAGACAUGAAUGGUGAUGGAAACUGCUGCGAGAUGGAAAUAAUCGAAGAGUACGGGUAGAUGAUAAUGCAGUCCUUUUGUCGGGGUAAAAUUUAACUGUAGAGCUCUGAAAGUUAGAGCAAGAAAACAAA